rnacentral:lncRNA from 1 species
CCACCAUGUGGUGCGGGUCUUUCAUAGACAAUUCAUUAAAAUCAAAGUAUCAGAUUGAAAACAAAGUCUUUUUUCAAUUUGAUAAGCUGUUGCUCUUAUUUCAUUUGUUCACUCAAAAUACGAGUUUGAUCAAGCAUACAGAUCCUCUAUGCACUUUUGAGGAACUUCGUAAAUAGGCCAUUCAUAUGGUUAUUAUAAAGAUCAAUGCGG